rnacentral:lncRNA from 1 species
ACAGCAGAGAAGAGAAGAGAAAACGCGGCAGGGCGCUCUGUUGGCUUCUCCAGGAGUGACUGUGCUGCUUUCCAAGAUGAAACCUCCCUUCCUUUGCAGUUCGCUGAGAGCUUCAGUGACCCUCGCUCAUCCUUUGGAGCCCUCUGCCAGGACGAGCCAGUUGUGUGUGGCUUCUGGUGCCUGACCAUUCCUAUCCUGGCUGGAGUCUCCAGAGGUGAGUUUUUACUCUCUUCUCAGUGGAUUCUGACUUCCUGUGUCUGACGAGCCUGGGCAGUACCACAUCUCCUGAUACCACUGAGCAAAAGUGCCCCUGCGGACCCAUUCCACACCCAGCUCCUCCAAGAGCUUACCCAGUGUCUGAAGAAUAAGAACUGGAAUUGAGACUGUCCUAACUAGGUGAUAAUGAACAGCAAUGUCAGAGAAGUGCAAAUACCGUGAUCAGAUUACCCUAGUUUGUGGCUAAAUCUGGGAUGUUACCUUCAAAAAGAGUCAAACUGGAAUCUAGAGGCACUAAAAUUCAGAGAACGAAGAGAAACUCUCAACAGUCAGUUUGAAGAACAGACCACAGUGGAACAAAACACAUUUCCUCUUCUCUCCUACAUGGCUCUGGAGCUAAUUUGAUUUAAUUUAACAAUUACAUAGCGAAUGCUAUUUUACAAAUGUUGCGCUAUUUAAUCUUCAUAGCAACCUUGUGACAUGGUUACUGCUGUUAUCUCCAGUUUACAGAGGACAAAAGGAGAUGCUGAGUGCUCAAAGCUGAAGGAAGUGAACCCAGAUUCAAAGACAGGUUUCUCAGUCUCAUCACUCAGUAGCAGCCAGUUACUUUCUUCCCUUCUUGGAGGUCUCCAACAUCUCCACCCUCCAAUGGGGCUGGAGGGAAACUUCUGAUGAAUAAUGCACCCAACAAACAGCACUAGAGGCAUGAAAUUCUAGAUAUACUUAAAACAUUCCAUGCAUUUUUAUUUCGAAUUCCUCUGCCCACCCAGAAUUUAUGCUUAAUAAAAGAGAAAAUAACUCUGCAUGUCUGAGAUCUUCACAGCUGGUUUGCCAAGCAUGGUCUCUUCUUAUAUUCUGCCAUAUUGCUGGCCUGUUCAGUUUAGCAUUUGCCCUGGGUUUUUCAUUUUUAACCUAUUAUUAUUAGUAACAGUUCAGUAUAAAUGCUAAGAUGGGUCUGGUGGACUUUCACUUUUCCAGCUUCAGCUCCAACUCAGCUAGGACCAUAUCUGAUAGAUGUCCGAACCUUCCUAGGAACAAAGCAACUAACACCAUUCUCCCACGGAGAUCAUGCAGGACACUCGGUAGGACAAGGAAAUGCGCAUGAAUACCAUAUUGAUGUUGCUUGCUGCCCUGCUGGCUUAGUGCUGGUCCAGCCAGUGAAGUGUGGCAGAGGUAGCAAUUCUUGUCACAAUUCUAACCUAAGUCCACAGGGUACCUGAAGCGACCAACCUGCAAGUCAGUGGAUUCUUUAGGAAAUAGGGAGAAGUAUAGGGCAGUUAUACAUAAAAUAUGCAGGGGAAAUCAAGGCAAGUAUGUUCUACCCAGUAAAUUACUGAUUAAAGUAGUCAAAUAAACACCAAAAAAAAAAAAAAAAAAA